CUUUUAAUAACCAUGUUUUGGAUAAAUACGCUGUGAUGUAUACAACAAAGUCUACCUUCAUGUGUGUGAUAUCUGCAAAACCAUAUUUGCAUUGAAUGUGCUCUCUUAAGCCCAACAUACAUACAUAUUUUUAUAUACAUGGUUUUAGUCCUCCUUUCCUUAUUUUCAUUAUUCUGUCCUUUGCUGCUUUUUCCUCAGCAGGCAUCCCUGCCUAUCCCGCUGUCCCCUGGAAUGAUUUCUACAUGCAGGGAGCUCCAUUCUCAAAUCAGGUGUGCUCACGAGUGCCAUUUUCUAGCACAGCAGGAGAAAAGUACUUCACUGAGACUUCCUAUGCUCAGGCACCUUGCCUACCCUCCUCCUCCCGUUUUCAAGUGCCCAAUGGAACAACACUGGGAUCCGUGCCACAUGCUGAAAAACAAAAGGGAGGGACACCACCAGACCAGAGUUCCUAUCAGAAUCACCAGCAAGAGCCAGAGAUGACAUCUCUUCCUGAAAGAGAGGAAGUAGAGAGUAGCAGCAAGAAAGAAGAGACUAUUGUUGAAAUUAAGAAGAAGCUAAUGACUGAUGCUCCACUCUGAGGGGGGGGAAAAAGCAAAGGAAGAGGAAACGUUGCCAUUUUUUAAACUCUGCAAAAUAAGAGACCGAAAACAAGAGACAAGAAUAAUAUUUGCAACAGAAGCAAUAUUUUGUUUCUUUUUUGGGGUUGUAUUUGAUUUUUUUUCUUGUUGCCAUGAUUAUUUUCUUGCUGAGGAAAGAAGCAGGGAAAUUUCAGCCAAUAAAGGCUUCUGGCCUGUG